AAUUUAAAUAAUGUGAAAACCAAUAGAACAUUUGGCAUGUUAGGCUACUUUUAACAAGGUAAGCCAUGCUUCAUAAAAUAACAUAAAACAUCCAGGUUUUAAACAAGUUUAUGGUUAAAUAGUUAAAAUGCUGACCACCUCUGCUCAGAUUCAAGGUGGGUGAUGUGUGGUGCGCAACAGGCACUGUCCUUCACUCUCUGGUUUUGUGACCAUUUGAUCUGAACAAACCGUGCCUCAAGCCUUUAAACGUUAAUGUUAAUUUUCCUUCAUUAUAUUUGUCAAAAAUGACUGGUGUUUGCCUAUAUUUAUGUAAUUAACAGUCUCAUUAAAGUUUGGCUACAUUUUACAGAGCCUCCCUCAUGUCAGCAUCGGUUUGGACAUGAAGCUGCAGCCAAUAUGCAUAUCACCUAGACUUUGACAUGUAGGCUUUUUUUUAUUUAUGUACAUGGAAAAAUAGAUUUGAAUGUUAUUCCAAUGUUGGCCCCUCUGAUUUAAUUCUGAUCUGAGUAAUUGUUUGAUAUUGUGCUAAAAAAAAAAAGACUUGUCCAUUCAGACAACUCCAAAUCUAUAUUAUUCUUCUCUACUUUUUAUUUUAUUUUACAAUUUUUUUAACUUGUCCCGGACAAGAGGACAAGCCUUAAUGUUCGAGCCCUGGAGUGUUUGAAUCCUUUGAGGGUUUACAUGGUGUUCAAUCACAUUUAUGAAACCCUCUAACUUGUAUGUGUUUUCCACUUAACGGUACAUUAGCUUGGUUUGCAUCUGGUGAAAGGCCACCUCUGAAAGGUUAUGUGAAAUAGUACAGAGUGAUUUAGUUAGUUGCUUUGCCAACACUGAGGGACCUGGUAAUUAAACAAAUUCUCAAGCGAGUGGGACAGGUCCCGAAUCAGGAACAUGUCUGAAUUGUCACAGAGAUGCAUGUAGUGUAGUCCUUUGUCAUGGUCACUGCCUUUUCCAUUCAUGACUGUGCAUGCCUUCUUUUGAUUCACCAAAGUGUUUUGUGUUGUAGAAUUUUGUUCUAUAAAAGUCCCAGUAAUCCUCUGUUCAUAACACUGUGAUUGAUAUAAUUUAGUUUAACUCACAAUGUUGGUGCUGGAGUGAUGAUUAAGUACUAGGUCAAGAUAUAACGUAAACAUCAGAAGUUAUCCCAAUACAGUGUGUCAUUAGAAUGAAUAACCGGAAGGGCUUAAGCAUUUUUUUUUGUAUUUAUUUACUAUUUAUGUAAAGUUCUCAUGGAAAAACUGCUGGAUUCUUUUAGUAUAUUGGAAUAUAAAUGUAGGACUUACAAGUGUGUGUGUGUGUGUGUGUGUGUGUGUCAGCUAUCCAUGGCUACACAGCUACCAAGAAGGUUAGAAAGUGAGGAGUUAGAAAGAACUAGUUAUGUUACACAUCUUUUGCUAAGGCCAACCAAGAUUGUUAGUGGUAGCCUAAAUUGAAACUGGCUUUGAGUAGAAAUCUUAAGAGCAGCCUUCUUAACAAUUAUUUUAUUGCAUUAAAUUGUGAUUAUCCCAGAGAAAAGUGUUUAUAAAAGCCAGCUCCCCAAAUUAGUUUGAAAAGUGUGCAAUCAGUCAAAUCAACAUGAUGUAUAAACAGUGGGCUUGCACCAGUCUUAAUUAUCAUCUAUAUUUACUGUGCACGUGUGAGUAUCUAUAGAUGUGUGUACAUGUUUCACUAUUGGGAAUAUUUUCCCUCUUUCCCAUCUCUCCAUGAAAUAAUAUUUUUUUAAAGUUUAGGCCAGUUUAUUAUUAUAAUUUUUUUGUCUGCUCCCUCUGAUUCCUUUCCAAAGCUGUUUAAAAAAACUUGCCUUAAAGUGGACGGCAGCAUUUUGUUAUUACUAAUCUCUAAGGUGUUCCACGGACAUAUCCAUAUGUCCUUCAAUACAGUUAGCCUGGAAGUCAGUAGCUGCAUGUUUCCAUUGUUUUAGUGUGUCUAACUGCCUCUGUAUCAGGAACAUAGCUCUUUCCAUGAGGGACAAAUCUUUUACCAAGCCUAUUACACUUGCCUCUCCACACUUGUCAUUGGUUUUAUACUUGCUGAAUACUUGACAAAUAGAUGAUCCAGGUGUUUUAAAUUCUCUCUCACUCUUGUGGUUUCCCCCUCCAUGUUCCAUGCUGGUGGGGAAAAAACAGCAAGGGAGAGGUUACAAUACUUGGUCAACUGAUAGUUGUUUGGCUUGUUUUGUAUAAAAAAAUAAAUUUAAAAAAAGAAUCUAUCUAAUAAGAGAGAAGCACCUUUGUUACUUAUUUGAAAAAAUGAAAAAAAGUUUAUUUAAUUCAGUACCAAAGUUAUCAUCUUUUGUUGGCUAAUUGAAAUCGCUACACAGUUGCGUGUGUAUAUACUGUAAGGUACAAUAUCACACUUAUUGUAGUGUGACAGCGGUUAUUUUCUAAUCUAAAUAUUGUUAUUAAUGAGGUGUUUUUAAUGGUUCGUUUUAAAGAAGACUGGCAUUUCUGCUGGGGAUAACUUACAACGGUGGCACUGUAGAAAAGGUCUUGACUGACCGUACUGACUGUCAGGAAGAGAGGAGAUUGAUGAAGCAUGGAAUUUUUUACAUUUAUUGUAUAGUUUAAGAAAGGGGUUUAAUCUGCGAUUAUUUGCUUAAUGACUAAAGGAUUUGUAGCUUUUAAUUUUUUCUCAGGAUCUGUUUUGUUUGACUUUUUACCAGGAUGUUUUAGUGGUGUGACUACUUGGUUUAUUUUCAAAGCAUUUGUCUGUCAUUUGUUGUGUGUACAUUUUAUUUUAAUUGAAUCCCUGUUGCCUUGAAUUUGAAUACAGUUGUGCAUUAUCAUUGUCAGCUUUGAGGUUCCUUUUUUUUUUGGUGUGCUUUUGAUUACUUCAUUGGAUGUUUCAUUUAUUUAUUUUUUGCACACCAAAGUCCUAGUGUGCAAAAAUCCUAACCUUACUUGAGCUCACCUAAGAUAAGAACCAAAUACUUGCUACACCACUCUCCCAUUAGCCCUACUGAGGUGCAGACGGAACAACCAUACACUCUUGUGCAGUCCACACACAGUCUUAUGAAUCACAGAAUGAGAGUGAAUUAAUUAGUGUGAAUGUGAGAGAAAGCGAUCAAUGUCCAUAAGGAAUCCUACUCUACUUAUUGAUUUCUCCCACCCCAUGAGGGCUUCAUGCAGCAGGUGGACUGAUGGAGUCCUUUGAGAUGCCCCCUCCAUACUCCGUUGUGGCUCUACAAAUAACAUCUAAGUGGGAACUGCUGAUAAAUGCUGUCUCUUUUUUUAAUAAAUGUGCUAUUUUAUCUAA